UACGUAGGUGGCAAGCGUUAUCCGGAAUUAUUGGGCGUAAAGCGCGCGCAGGCGGUCCUUUAAGUCUGAUGUGAAAGCCCACGGCUCAACCGUGGAGGGUCAUUGGAAACUGGGGGACUUGAGUGCAGAAGAGGAGAGCGGAAUUCCACGUGUAGCGGUGAAAUGCGUAGAGAUGUGGAGGAACACCAGUGGCGAAGGCGGCUUUCUGGUCUGUAACUGACGCUGAGGCGCGAAAGCGUGGGGAGCAAACAGG
rnacentral:rRNA from 1 species